AUUUGGUUUUGUAUAGGAUUUUGUGCAGAAUACAACCUACAAGGAGAAAGAAUUCAGGACAAUUUCAAUGCACCAUGUACAACAUUCUCAAAACCAUGCCCUCCAAGAUAUCUGUCUUCUGAUGCAUAUUUAUAUCAAGAAUGUUACAGAUUAGUAGAGAUUCAGAAGAAGAAAUCGGUUUUUGUUGUUACUACAGAAGAUAAUGGCAUCAGACAGGAUGUACCAAACAAUGGAACAGAAACCAUCAUUAUUGUGUCAAUACUUUGCACUAUUGCUGCUCUGUUAUCAAUGCUUGCGGUGAUAUUGUACAGAAGACAACGUGAAAGAAGAUCAAACAAUGUGAGGACUCAUGAUGAGGAAAUUGAAGAUGAUGACCUGAUGAUAUCUGAAACAAAUAAUAUAUGAUAUUUACUUUAGAUCUCUCUCUCUCUUUCAUAUUUAUGUGAUAUUUGCUUCCAAAUAUUUCCCUACUUUUAAUGACACGUUUUUUCUGUAUAAAACUAUUGUUCAUCAAUCUACAAUACAAUAUUCCAAAUGUAUAUUUUCAUGCUGUUAUUCAAAUUAAUUAUGAAUGUAAAAAAAUAUUUCAAAAGAAUUAUCAGCAUGCAGUAUCAGCAAAAAACUCUAAACACAGAAAAAGAUAAAUAUUAACAUAAAAUAUUUCUAAACAAUAAAAAGUUGAUUGAUGAGUUCUUAUAAACGCAUAGUCAAUUGAAUGAUCACUUGAUAUUAGAUUUGUUCGACUUUUCAUCAAAUGGUUUUUGAUUGGUUAUUUUUAUUUUUGCUGUUUGGACAAAUUAGCUUUUUUCCCUGAUAGUUUGAUUAGGUUAUUUGCAAUUUUAGGAGGGGGUUGGGUAAUAGUGUUUAAUUUCUUGGUACAUGUCAAAUAUAGUGUUUUUCAAUUAAAGACGGAAAUCAUUUCUUCCUUAAAAAUGUACAAAAGUGUUUUAGCCAUACGAGUAUGUUUAUAUCAACAAAUGAUAUUAUUU